GAACGCGAAGAACCUUACCAAGUCUUGACAUACUGUGAGGACACAAGAGAUUGUGUUGUUCUGGCCUUUGGUUAGACACAGAUACAGGUGGUGCAUGGUUGUCGUCAGCUCGUGUCGUGAGAUGUUGGGUUAAGUCCCGCAACGAGCGCAACCCUUAUAUCUAGUUGCCAGCAGUAAGAUGGGGACUCUAGAUAGACUGCCAGUGAUAAACUGGAGGAAGGUGGGGAUGACGUCAAAUCAUCAUGCCCCUUAUGACUUGGGCUACACACGUGCUACAAUGGAUAGGAACAAAGAGAAGCGAGCUCGCGAGAGUAAGCAAACCUCACAAAACUAUUCUCAGUUCGGAUUGUAGUCUGCAACUCGACUACAUGAAGCUGGAAUCGCUAGUAAUCGCGAAUCAGAAUGUCGCGGUGAAUACGUUCCCGGGUCUUGUACACACC
rnacentral:rRNA from 1 species